rnacentral:lncRNA from 1 species
CUUAACCUCAGACCUAGGCUGAGCCAGCCCUGAACUCUGUGAGGUUCCACUGUCACUGGUGACCAUCAGCAGCCUCUGAAAACCCACACUCCUGUGUCUACCAGCCCCUGGCUACCCUGACACGUUCUGAGCUGCAGAAAUCCUGCUCGAGGUGGAGAAACUGCAGCAGCAGAAGGAGCCUUUACAGCAAAUAGUCUGUUU